UCACCAGGUUCAAGUGAGUCCUUGGUUGGUUACCAAGUUCGCCUCGAUAGUGCAAGGAAUGAGAGAACAAAGCUCCUCUUUUGUACAACUGGCAUUCUUUUGAGAAUGUUUUCAGGAAAUAAAAGUUUGGCUGGUGUUAGUCAUAUCAUUGUUGAUGAAGUGCAUGAGAGGUCACUUCUGGGUGAUUUUCUGCUCAUUGUCUUGAAGAGUCUCAUCCAGAUGCAAUCUGCCCUUGGUACGGCAAAACUGAAAGUUAUACUCAUG
rnacentral:misc_RNA from 1 species